UCCUUCCCAUUUUGUUCUUUCUCUCUGUCUCUCUUGGCAUUUUCCUUUCAUAAUGGGAGCUGAAUCAGAAUCUCAUCAAACUUCAUUUUCUUUGGCAGAUCCACGGCCUCCGGGGGACGUGUUCACCGGAGAUGAGGGAGACGGCGGCGUUCCCGUCUAUCUCGGUGGUGGAUCUGAUCGUAGAUGGUGUUGUCUGGCAUGAGAGGGCUCUCCGUCUUUAUCGGAGACAUUCGUAUUUGACAGAAACCUUCAUGUUGGCUAAACUCGGCAACUUCCUAACGCGUUUUAUAAACGAUUAGGUCAAAAACCCUCGUCUUCCAUCUGCCUAAGUAAGCUUCUUCAGACCAUAUCUAUAUCUACUGAAAUGUUUUCCCCUGAUGAGGUCCCUUUCUGGACCAUCUUUUAAAGCUUCAACAAGUGAUGAACAUCCAAUGGGUCAACAAUCCAGCACUCCUUGAGCAAUGCGGGCUAGUUAUAUGGCUAAAUUGAGGUGAACUGAUGUUAGUUUCGCAAACCACAGCGUAAUUCAACAAGUACGGUCUUCAAGCCAGUGAUUGUACAAGCAGUGGUCAUUUUCUUAUAUGGCUCUUUUACUGAAUUAUUCGUGGUACAGCUUGUAAAAGAUAGUUUCGUAGUACAAAUUGUAACAUCAGUAUUGUCAUUCUCUUAAAAAUUAGUUUCAUUAGGAUA